GGAGAGUCGGGGUCCCGCCGCCACCUUCAUCUCUGCUCCAUAAAACCUCCGUUACUGAAGGAGAGAGCCUCGGACGACACACCUGACCUCACGUCACUGUGAAACAGGGUGAAGGAAGACAAGACGGACUAAACCUCAACACGCUUCAAAGACACAGACUUCCCUAGCUCCGCCCUCCAGCUGACACCAUGGAGAUCGCAGAAGAACUCAUAACGGAGAUCAACUCCUGCCUGGACCAACAAAUAGAGUGUGCACAGACACUGGAGGAGCUGGCCUCUGAGCUGGAGGACAUCAGGAAGACCGCUACGACCAGUGACGAUGUUGGAGGCUCUUUGUCU